rnacentral:rRNA from 1 species
ACGGAAGGCAUCAGUGGGGAAUAUUGGUCAAUGGGGGAAACCCUGAACCAGCAACGCCGCGUGAAGGAUGAAGGUUUUCGGAUUGUAAACUUCUUUGACGAGGAACGAUAAUGACGGUACCUCGAAAACAAGCCACGGCUAACUCCGUGCCAGCAGCCGCGGUAAUACGUAGGUGGCGAGCGUUGUCCGGAUUUACCGGGUGUAAAGGGCGUGUAGGCGGAUCAACAAGUCAGAUGUGAAAACCCGCGGCUUAACUGCGGGACUGCAGUUGAAACUGUAGGUCGUGAGUACUGGAGAGGAAAGCGGAAUUCCCGGUGUAGCGGUGGAAUGCGUAGAUAUCGGGAGGAACACCAGUGGCGAAGGCGGCUGUCUGGACAGCAACUGACGCUGAGGCGCGAAAGCGUGGGGAGCAAACAGGAUUAGAUACCCUGGUA